rnacentral:tRNA from 1 species
GAGGGUACAGCUCAAGUAGCAGAGCACAUGUUUAGCAUGCAUGAAGCCCUGGGUUCAAUCCCCAGUACCUCUA